rnacentral:lncRNA from 1 species
UUGCCUGCUCCCUCUACAACUACUGGAGGCUACUCCGGAGGAUCUAAUGUUAGCACGCUUUCUUUCCCAGCAAGAUAUUGUACAUGCAUAAGACGAACACUAUUAGCCACAACACAUAGAAUAAAAUACAAAACCAAUGGGGUUAACAACCCACACUUAUGUAUUUGGCAUGUUCAUAGGCAACAAUGUAUAUAGGGGACUUAGACUACCCAUAUAUCCAACAAGCAAGUCAUCACCAAACCAUCAAACCUUCCUCAAUUCUAGUAUAGCAACACCACCAGUUACAAAAAAGAAAAUCAAGGUGCUAUACUAACGGCUGAACUAAAAAAUAUAAAAUCAAGAAGUUAACUAAACUAGCUACUAAAAGCAAAAAGAAAAAAGUUAAACUCCAAACACUACACAAGUAUAUGGCAUGAACCGAAUGAGUCAAAUAGAAUUAGAAUCACAACAGCAUGAGGGGGCCAACACUCGAAAUUGUAAGUUUUAGGACAUGAUUGUCCACCCUACACGUCGAAUCACACACCAUCUAUACACAAAGCAAGAAACAUCAAUAACUUAUUUCAAAAGCCAAAAUAAUAUCAUUGAGGCAAAAACAUGUAGCGUGCACUAUGUCAAGGCCAAAUUUGAAGCUCAAUUUUCACUUGAAUCGCAUCAUAUAGCACACACCACCAAAAUUUAUAAAAAGAAUUUCAAACACCGCUCACAUUAACAAAAAAUCAUCCAUAAGCACAACAGCUAAUCAAAUCCCACAAUAAUGAAGUAUAAUUUCGGCCAAAUUAAGAGAAACAUACAAAAAAUCUACAAAAUAAAACCUUCAUAGGGUUUUGAUGAACUACACUAAAUUAAACUAAGUACACAAACAGAUUCCAAGAUAGAGUGGAGCGAUGAAAGAAGAAAACUUACCUUGAAGCUUGAGGGAGAUGGGGGGAUGGAGUCGACAAAGAAUUAAGGAGGGCUGGAGAAAGCUUUGGAAGUUAGAGUAGAAAGAGAGAAAUAGAGCUUGAGAGAAUGGGAGAAAGGGGUCAAGGUGAUUAAGACAGAUUGGGAAAA